GAUGAAGAACGUAGCGAAAUGCGAUACUUGGUGUGAAUUGCAGAAUCCCGUGAACCAUCGAGUUUUUGAACGCAAGUUGCGCCCGAAGCCGUUAGGCCGAGGGCACGCCUGCCUGGGUGUCACACGUCGUUGCCCCCCCAUCUACUCCUUCGGGAUUGCGGGGGGCGGAUGAUGGCCUCCCGUGCGCCUCGUCGCGCGGUUGGCAUAAAUGCCAAGUCCUCGGCGACGCACGCCACGACAAUCGGUGGUUGCGAAACCUCGGUUGCCCGUCGUGUGCGGUCGUCGCGCAUCGAGGGCUCGAAAAAAUUGCCGGGCUCCGGCUCGGCUUUCAACGCGACCCCAGGUCAGGCGGGGUUACCCGCUGAAUUUAAGCAUAUCAAUAAGCGGAGGA
rnacentral:misc_RNA from 1 species